rnacentral:rRNA from 1 species
UACAGACGGUCCAAACGUUAUUCGGAAUCACUGGGCUUAAAGAGUUCGUAGGCGGUCCAGAAAGUCGGGUGUGAAAGCCCUCGGCUCAACCGAGGAAGUGCGCCCGAAACUGCAAGGCUUGAGUACCGGAGAGGGUGGCGGAAUUCCCCAAGUAGAGGUGAAAUUCGUAGAUAUGGGGAGGAACACCAAUGGCGAAGGCAGCUCGCUGGGACGGUACUGACGCUGAGACGCGAAAGCGUGGGGAGCAAACAGG